rnacentral:rRNA from 1 species
UACGGGGGGGGCAAGCGUUGUUCGGAAUUACUGGGCGUAAAGGGCUCGUAGGCGGCCAACUAAGUCAGACGUGAAAUCCCCAGGCUUAACCUGGGAACUGCGUCUGAUACUGGAUGGCUUGAAUUCGGGAGAGGGAUGCAGAAUUCCAGGUGUAGCGGUGAAAUGCGUAGAUAUCUGGAGGAACACCGGUGGCGAAGGCGGCAUCCUGGACCGACACUGACGCUGAGGAGCGAAAAGCCAGGGGGAGCAAACGGGG